UACGAAGGGGGCUAGCGUUGUUCGGAAUUACUGGGCGUAAAGCGCACGUAGGCGGAUAUUUAAGUGAGGGGUGAAAUCCCAGGGCUCAACCCUGGAACUGCCUCUCGUACUGGGUAUCUCGAGUUCGAGAGAGGUGAGUGGAAUUGCGAGUGUAGAGGUGAAAUUCGUAGAUAUUCGCAAGAACACCAGUGGCGAAGGCGGCUCACUGGCCCGAUACUGACGCUGAGGCACGGAAAGCGUGGGGAGCAAACAGG
rnacentral:rRNA from 1 species